rnacentral:rRNA from 1 species
UACGUAGGAUCCUAGCGUUGUCCGGAUUUACUGGGCGUAAAGGGUGCGCAGGCGGACUUAUAAGUCAGAAGUGAAAUCUCGGCGCUUAACGCCGAAACUGCUUUUGAUACUGUAGGUCUUGAAUCAGCGAGAGACGUGUGGAAUUCCGAGUGUAGCAGUGAAAUGUGUAGAUAUUCGGAAGAACACCAGUGGCGAAGGCAGCACGUUGGCGCUCGAUUGACGCUCAGGCACGAAAGCAUGGGGAUCAAACAGG